rnacentral:rRNA from 1 species
UGGGGAAUUUUGGACAAUGGGCGCAAGCCUGAUCCAGCCAUACCGCGUGAGUGAAGAAGGCCUUCGGGUUGUAAAGCUCUUUCAGACGGAAAGAAACGGUCGCGGCCAAUACCCGCGACUAAUGACGGUACCGUAAGAAGAAGCACCGGCUAACUACGUGCCAGCAGCCGCGGUAAUACGUAGGGUGCGAGCGUUAAUCGGAAUUACUGGGCGUAAAGCGUGCGCAGGCGGUUUGGUAAGACAGAUGUGAAAUCCCCGGGCUUAACCUGGGAACUGCAUUUGUGACUGCCAGACUAGAGUGUAGCAGAGGGGGGUAGAAUUCCACGUGUAGCAGUGAAAUGCGUAGAUAUGUGGAGGAAUACCGAUGGCGAAGGCAGCCCCCUGGGCUAACACUGACGCUCAUGCACGAAAGCGUGGGGAGCAAACAGGAUUAGAUACCCCCGUAGUCCCUGAGCGGGCUGGCAAGGCGCAU